rnacentral:rRNA from 1 species
UACAGAGGUCUCGAGCGUUGUUCGGAUUCAUUGGGCGUAAAGGGCGCGUAGGCGGUCAGCACAAGUCAGUUGUGAAAUCUCCGGGCUUAACUCGGAAAGGUCAACUGAUACUGUGCGACUAGAGUGCGGAAGGGGCAACUGGAAUUCUCGGUGUAGCGGUGAAAUGCGUAGAUAUCGAGAGGAACACCUGCGGCGAAGGCGGGUUGCUGGGCCGACACUGACGCUGAUGCGCGAAAGCGUGGGGAGCAACAGG